rnacentral:rRNA from 1 species
CCUACGGGAGGCUGCAGUGGGGAAUAUUGGACAAUGGGGGGAACCCUGAUCCAGCCAUGCCGCGUGUGUGAAGAAGGCCCUCGGGUUGUAAAGCACUUUCAGUGAGGAAGAACGCCUGGUGGUUAAUACCCAUCAGGAAAGACAUCACUCACAGAAGAAGCACCGGCUAACUCCGUGCCAGCAGCCGCGGUAAUACGGAGGGUGCGAGCGUUAAUCGGAAUUACUGGGCGUAAAGCGCGCGUAGGUGGCUUGAUAAGCCGGUUGUGAAAGCCCCGGGCUCAACCUGGGAACGGCAUCCGGAACUGUCAAGCUAGAGUGCAGGAGAGGAAGGUAGAAUUCCCGGUGGAGCGGUGAAAUGCGUAGAGAUCGGGAGGAAUACCAGUGGCGAAGGCGGCCUUCUGGACUGACACUGAAACUGAGGUGCGAAAGCGUGGGUAGCAAACAGGAUUAGAUACCCUAGUAGUC